CUGCACCCGCUGACGAGCGGCGGACGGGUGAGUAAUGCAUAGGAAUCUGCCCGAUAGUGGGGGAUAACCUGGGGAAACCCAGGCUAAUACCGCAUACGUCCUACGGGAGAAAGGGGGCUUCGGCUCCCGCUAUCGGAUGAGCCUAUGUCGGAUUAGCUAGUUGGUGAGGUAAAGGCUCACCAAGGCGACGAUCCGUAGCUGGUCUGAGAGGAUGAUCAGCCACAUCGGGACUGAGACACGGCCCGAACUCCUACGGGAGGCAGCAGUGGGGAAUAUUGGACAAUGGGGGGAACCCUGAUCCAGCCAUGCCGCGUGUGUGAAGAAGGCCCUCGGGUUGUAAAGCACUUUCAGUGAGGAAGAACGCCUGGUGGUUAAUACCCAUCAGGAAAGACAUCACUCACAGAAGAAGCACCGGCUAACUCCGUGCCAGCAGCCGCGGUAAUACGGAGGGUGCGAGCGUUAAUCGGAAUUACUGGGCGUAAAGCGCGCGUAGGUGGCUUGAUAAGCCGGUUGUGAAAGCCCCGGGCUCAACCUGGGAACGGCAUCCGGAACUGUCAAGCUAGAGUGCAGGAGAGGAAGGUAGAAUUCCCGGUGUAGCGGUGAAAUGCGUAGAGAUCGGGAGGAAUACCAGUGGCGAAGGCGGCCUUCUGGACUGACACUGACACUGAGGUGCGAAAGCGUGGGUAGCAAACAGGAUUAGAUACCCUGGUAGUCCACGCCGUAAACGAUGUCGACCAGCCGUUGGGUGCCUAGCGCACUUUGUGGCGAAGUUAACGCGAUAAGUCGACCGCCUGGGGAGUACGGCCGCAAGGUUAAAACUCAAAUGGAUUGACGGGGGCCCGCACAAGCGGUGGAGCAUGUGGUUUAAUUCGAUGCAACGCGAAGAACCUUACCUACUCUUGACAUCCUGCGAAUUCGGUAGAGAUACCUUUAGUGCCUUCGGGAACGCAAAGACAGGUGCUGCAUGGCUGUCGUCAGCUCGUGUUGUGAAAUGUUGGGUUAAGUCCCGUAACGAGCGCAACCCU
rnacentral:rRNA from 1 species